GGGGGUGUACUGGUUUCGACGGGAAUCACGUAUAUCGGGGCAGCCAUUCGCAGAAUCCGGAGCUGCGUCAACAAUCUGGAACUUAAAUAUAAACGCAGAAGAAAAUUACGCUUUUGCUGCUUAAUUAAAAGCAGCUGUCUCUCUUAGAUUCCCGCAGUCUAAGAAGAGGCACCGACCAGGCGGGCAACUUUCUCUCUUAAGCUUUGCGGAGAGAUCGUAUUGAUGAAGCUACCAAGGUAAAAAGCCUGUCGUUAGGCGUUUUACCAAGGGAAUUUUAAAAUAACGACUAUAAUGGAAGAGACCACGAUAUAUGGAUUUUCGGACGGGGGUUCAACUCCCCCCACCUCCAUCG
rnacentral:tmRNA from 1 species